rnacentral:piRNA from 1 species
UGCUGUAACAACAAGGUUCAGAUGAAAGC